UUCAGAGCAGGCAGAGGACCAAACCGGGUCAGAAGCAGGAAGAGGAGCACACAUCUGGAGAAAGUCAAGAUACGGAACCAAAGAAAACCAAAUACAAUCUGUGCCCUUAUAGGGGUUACAAUCCACUUCCACGAGGAGAAAAAGGCUUGUGCAGAGGCUCAGGGGCAGAAAAACACAGACGUGUUCGAAGAGUAGAGAAAGGGGAUCUUGGCCAGCACGCAACGGGCACAGGGGAGCGCUGGAGUGGGGCUGGGCCAGCAAGCAGGUAAUCGCAGGCCAUGGCGCGGAUCUUGGAUUUUAUGCUAAGGAAGGAAGGUCACUAAGGCUCCGACCCUCCAGCUCUCUCACUAGAUCAGAUCCAGGGAGUCCCCGAGAUUCGUCCCGGACACAUAAACUUCGG